rfam:Caenorhabditis brenneri strain PB2801 C_brenneri-6.0.1_Cont48.16, whole genome shotgun sequence.
ACUGGGCGUCGUGGCGGGCGUCUGUGAACCAGCUUCUAGGUAGUAGAUAAGUGUGGAUGGAGUGAAGGGAGGAGUCCUGUGGGUGUCUCGGCAACGGCGACCGAGCGUCCGUGCCAAGCGCUACGUCGCCAGGGGUCAUCAGACGGAAGUUUGAAGAUCCCGGGCGCAUAAGGAGUGGUGCACGGCUCAGGGCCGAAAGGCAGCAGGCAAAAGCCACCGCGCGGUGCAGUGGCCGGAUAGCGCUUGUGAGUUGUCGACCUCCCACAGCCUCUCUGAUAUCCUUCAGACCACUUAUCAU